rnacentral:lncRNA from 1 species
ACUAACCUAACUCUGGCAAUUCGACCGUUAUAAGUAAGGCAACUUGAGCAGGGCUCUAAUCUACCUCUGUGAACACCACUUAUUGGUGCAUUUCUACUAGUUGUUUGGUUAGGAGUUACUUGCCUGAUAGCAAUAUAGAUAAUCUCUUCUCUUCUCUCGGCACUGCUCUAACUGCUGACCUUGCCCACCGAUUGCCCGAAGCCAGUUAUUAAAGUAUAGUGAUUGCCCCAACAGGUAGUGGAGUAGUCGCGCCCAGAAUCAAUACUAGUAGUAGAGUAGUUAGCUCUUUGAACUGUAGUAGCUUGGCCUCCGCUAUUACCAGUCUAUCCGGUCUUCUUCUCUGAUAACUACUAUACUAUAUAACUAUUUGGUCUUAACUCCGAGU